GCCAGCCGAGUAAUGAGUGAAUUUCUGCACGAUUGUGAUGAGGUGAUGAUGAGAAAUAUUCACACAGAGUGAGCUGUGAUUCAAUGUAUUCAUCCAGCUAAUUACCGAAAAAUUGAAUACUCCAAU
rnacentral:autocatalytically_spliced_intron from 1 species